rnacentral:piRNA from 1 species
UGGCUUAGUACGGCCUAGUGUCUCCUAGUU